rnacentral:rRNA from 1 species
AGUGGCGAACGGGUGAGUAAUACGUAGGUAAUCUGCCCGCAGAUUUGGGAUAACGUGCCUAACGGUGCGCUAAUACCGAAUGAAGCAUCAUGAUGUAGGUUGUGAUGUUAAAGGUAGCUUUUAAAAGGGCUAUUGUCUGCGGAUGAGCUUGCGUCCCAUUAGCUAGUUGGCAGGGUAAAGGCCUACCAAGGCAACGAUGGGUAGCCGGCCUGAGAGGGUGUCCGGCCACACUGGGACUGAGAUACGGCCCAGACUCCUACGGGAGGCAGCAGUAAGGAAUAUUGCGCAAUGGUCGAAAGACUGACGCAGCAACGCCGCGUGGGUGAUGAAGCUCUAUGGAGUGUAAAACCCUGUUAGGAGGGAAGAAUGGUAUAGAUGACGAAUCUAUAUUUGACGGUACCUCCGGAGAAAGCCCCGGCUAACUCCGCGCCAGCAGCCGCGGUAAUACGGGGGGGGCGAGCGUUGUCCGGAAUCACUGGGCGUAAAGGGCGUGUAGGUGGGAUAGUAAGUUAGAGGUGAAAACUAGCAGCUUAACUGUUAGCCUGCCUUUAAUACUGCUAUUCUUGAGUGCGGAAGAGGGAAGUGGAAUUCUUGGUGUAGCGGUGAAAUGCGUAGAUAUCAAGAAGAACACCGGUAGCGAAGGCGGCUUCCUGGUCCGUAACUGACACUGAGGCGCGAAAGCGUGGGGAGCAAACAGGAUUAGAUACCCUGGUAGUCCACGCUGUAAACGUUGGGUACUANGUGUUGAGCCAUUUGGCUCAGUGCCGAAGCUAACGCAUUAAGUGCCCCGCCUGGGGAGUACGAUCGCAAGGUUGAAACUCAAAGGAAUUGACGGGGGCCCGCACAAGCGGUGGAGCAUGUGGUUCAAUUCGAUGCAACGCGAAGAACCUUACCGGGGUUUGAAAAGCAAGUGACACCCGAUGAAAGUCGGUCUCGUAGCAAUACGCACUUGUACAGGUGCUGCAUGGCUGUCGUCAGCUCGUGCCGUGAGGUGUUGGGUUAAGUCCCGCAACGAGCGCAACCCUUAUCCUUAGUUACCACCAGAUUAUGCUGAGGACUCUAAGGAGACUGCUCCGGAUAACGGGGAGGAAGGUGGGGAUGACGUCAAGUCCUCAUGGCCCUUACAUCCCGGGCUACACACGUGCUACAAUGGCCAGUACAACGGGAAGCGAAACUGUGAAGUCGAGCAAAUCCCUUAAAACUGGUCUCAGUUCAGAUUGUAGUCUGCAACUCGACUACAUGAAGUCGGAAUCGCUAGUAAUCGCGGAUCAGCACGCCGCGGUGAUACGUUCCCGGGCCUUGUACACACCGCCCGUCACGCCAUGGAAGUUGGUAGCACCCGAAG